GACGAACGCUGGCGGCGUGCUUAACACAUGCAAGUCGAACGAAGAGCGAUGGAAGCUUGCCUCUAUCAAUCUUAGUGGCGAACGGGUGAGUAACGCGUAAUCAACCUGCCCUUCAGAGGGGGACAACAGUUGGAAACGACUGCUAAUACCGCAUACGAUCUAAUCUCGGCAUCGAGGAUAGAUGAAAGGUGGCCUCUACAUGUAAGCUAUCACUGAAGGAGGGGAUUGCGUCUGAUUAGCUAGUUGGAGGGGUAACGGCCCACCAAGGCGAUGAGCAGUAGCCGGUCUGAGAGGAUGAACGGCCACAUUGGGACUGAGACACGGCCCAGACUCCUACGGGAGGCAGCAGUGGGGAAUCUUCCGCAAUGGACGAAAGUCUGACGGAGCAACGCCGCGUGAGUGAUGACGGCCUUCGGGUUGUAAAGCUCUGUUAAUCGGGACGAAAGGCCUUCUUGCGAAUAGUGAGAAGGAUUGACGGUACCGGAAUAGAAAGCCACGGCUAACUACGUG
rnacentral:rRNA from 1 species